rnacentral:sRNA from 1 species
UACAAACUGUUGGAUUAAAACCCAAAAAGAGCGCGAAAAUUGAGAGGAUUACGAAAGAAAACAAAAGGAAAUGUAAAAAUCAACUGAUGAAAACCAUAAAUACCAAAAAAGAGGUCUAAAACCCCAAAAAAGGCAAAUGUUAUACAUUUACAUCAAAUGAUUUAAACCAAAAUCAAGUAACUUCGAAGAAAACUUAAGAACCCUUCAUGAGAAGGAAAACAAAAAACGGAAUAAUAUUUCUGAAAGGUUUAUAACAAAAAGCCACAAGGAGAUGUAACAAACAAUUGAUUAAAACCCAAAGCGAAACCCAUACAUAUCAUGUAAAACGCUCGAAAAAGCUUGCUGAAAUCCCCAAAAAACCAAGCUCCAUUAUCUCAAAGAAAAACCCAAAACCAAAUGAAUUAGUCUAAGGAAGAAAACGUUGUGCAAAUUAUCGCAAACAUAUCAAACGCUCUUUCAAAGAGCAAAACCCUAGCAUAAAUAUCGCAUGCACUACACCUAAGAGAUAGAGUAUCUACAAAUUAUACAUAAAGGAAUAAAUGAAUUCUUAAGCUAAAAAGCAGAAACAGAAACAGAAGCGGAAGCAGAUUUUUGUUAGAAAUUUUACAUCAGUUAACGAAUGGAGUAAAAGAAGGAAGAGUUAUACAAAAUAUCAGAAAACAUAUCAUUGAGGUUGCCUCAAUAGCAGCAGCAUCAGCAGCAGCUACAAAACAUAUCAAUUAUAUAUAUAGAGACUAAGGAUAUUAAGGAUUCAGGAGAAGGAUCAUUGUUUACUUUAUCAAAAACGAGGACCAAUUUCUUAUGAGAGGACGAGCCACUCAAAAGGAAUUAAUGCUAAAAAGACUUUAAUUGGUGGAAAAAAAAAAACGGCAGGAAGCCCCGUGAAAUUUGCAUGAAAAUUUCCGAUUGGCAAAAGUACGAACUGAUUCGCCAACAUAGCCAGCUACCAGGACCUGUUGGGCAGCCAUCAUCAACUGCUCAUAGCCGCCACAGCCGCAGCCACCGUCGCCGCUGCCGCA